rnacentral:tRNA from 1 species
ACGGUGCUCGCCUUCUGGUGAAGGCAACGGCCUCCAAACCCGUACCAGCAGGGUUCGAUCCCCUGGCGCCGUGCCA